AGCGAACGCUGGCGGCAGGCUUAACACAUGCAAGUCGAGCGGGCACUUCGGUGUCAGCGGCAGACGGGUGAGUAACACGUGGGAACGUACCCUUCGGUUCGGAAUAACGCUGGGAAACUAGCGCUAAUACCGGAUACGCCCUUUUGGGGAAAGGUUUACUGCCGAAGGAUCGGCCCGCGUCUGAUUAGCUAGUUGGUGGGGUAAUGGCCUACCAAGGCGACGAUCAGUAGCUGGUCUGAGAGGAUGAUCAGCCACACUGGGACUGAGACACGGCCCAGACUCCUACAGGAGGCAGCAGUGGGGAAUAUUGGACAAUGGGCGCAAGCCUGAUCCAGCCAUGCCGCGUGAGUGAUGAAGGCCUUAGGGUUGUAAAGCUCUUUUGUCCGGGACGAUAAUGACGGUACUGGAAGAAUAAGCCCCGGCUAACUUCGUG
rnacentral:rRNA from 1 species